ensembl:snoRNA
UUGACCUUGACUCAGGGCCAAUCAACAGUUUGCUGAAGCUGUUGGUUUCAAGCAGGUGCUAAAGAGAAGUCUUUCUAUGGUCUGUUCGGCAUUUCAGAAAUUUGGAAAUGGUCAGUUCAUUAGAAAGAAACAUUU